GACGUAGGAUGCAAGCGUUGUCCGGAAUUAUUGGGCGUAAAGAGUUCGUAGGCGGUUGCCUAAGUCUGAUGUGAAAGCCCGGGGCUUAACCCCGGGUCUGCAUUCGAUACGGGCAGGCUAGAGUUCGGUAGGGGAGAUCGGAAUUCCUGGUGUAGCGGUGAAAUGCGCAGAUAUCAGGAGGAACACCGGUGGCGAAGGCGGAUCUCUGGGCCGAUACUGACGCUGAGGAGCGAAAGCGUGGGGAGCGAACAGG
rnacentral:rRNA from 1 species